GACGAACGCUGGCGGCGUGCUUAACACAUGCAAGUCGAACGAUGAAGCUGGAGCUUGCUCCGGUGGAUUAGUGGCGAACGGGUGAGUAACACGUGAGCAAUCUGCCCUUGACUCUGGGAUAACUGCGGGAAACUGUAGCUAAUACCGGAUAUUUUCCCUGGUGGGCAUCCACUGGGGAAGAAAGAAUUUCGGUCAAGGAUGAGCUCGCGGCCUAUCAGCUAGUUGGUGAGGUAAUGGCUCACCAAGGCGACGACGGGUAGCCGGCCUGAGAGGGUGACCGGCCACACUGGAACUGAGACACGGUCCAGACUCCUACGGGAGGCAGCAGUGGGGAAUAUUGCACAAUGGGCGAAAGCCUGAUGCAGCAACGCCGCGUGAGGGACGAAGGCCUUCGGGUUGUAAACCUCUUUUAGCAGGGAAGAAGCGAAAGUGACGGUACCUGCAGAAAAAGC
rnacentral:rRNA from 2 species